rnacentral:rRNA from 1 species
CUGGCGGCGUGCUUAACACAUGCAAGUCGAACGAGAAUCCCUGAAAAGAGACUCGGUCAAUGGAAGGGGAGGAAAGUGGCGGACGGGUGAGUAACGCGUGAGGAACCUGCCUUUCAGAGGGGGACAACAGUUGGAAACGACUGCUAAUACCGCAUGAUGCAUAGGAGUCGCAUGGCUCUUAUGCCAAAGAUUUAUCGCUGAAAGAUGGCCUCGCGUCUGAUUAGCUGGUCGGUGAGGUAACGGCCCACCAAGGCGACGAUCAGUAGCCGGACUGAGAGGUUGAACGGCCACAUUGGGACUGAGAUACGGCCCAGACUCCUACGGGAGGCAGCAGUGGGGAAUAUUGGGCAAUGGGCGCAAAGCCUGACCCAGCAACGCCGCGUGAAGGAAGAAGGCUUUCGGGUUGUAAACUUCUUUUGUUGGGGACGAGUAGAAGACGGUACCUGACGAAUAAGCCACGGCUAACUACGUGCCAGCAGCUGC